rnacentral:rRNA from 1 species
AUUGAACGCUGGCGGCAUGCCUUACACAUGCAAGUCGAACGGCAGCACGGGUGCUUGCACCUGGUGGCGAGUGGCGAACGGGUGAGUAAUACAUCGGAACGUACCUUAUCGUGGGGGAUAACGCAGCGAAAGCUGUGCUAAUACCGCAUACGCCCUGAGGGGGAAAGCGGGGGAUCGCAAGACCUCGCGCGAUUAGAGCGGCCGAUGCCUGAUUAGCUUGUUGGUGGGGUAAAAGCCCACCAAGGCGACGAUCAGUAGCUGGUCUGAGAGGACGAUCAGCCACACUGGGACUGAGACACGGCCCAGACUCCUACGGGAGGCAGCAGUGGGGAAGUUUGGACAAUGGGGGCAACCCUGAUCCAGAAAUGCCGCGUGAGUGAAGAAGGCCUUCGGGUUGUAAAGCUCUUUUGUCAGGGAAGAAACACCGGCUCUAACACAGUCUGGGAAUGACGGUACCUGAAGAAUAAGCACCGGCUAACUACGUGCCAGCAGCCGCCGUAA